CCUCAGCAUAGCUUAGAAAAUAAUUUACUAAAAUGACAUCAAAGAAUCUCAUUAAAUGUAUGUGAUAUUAAAAUUUAAAAUAUUAAUAUAUAGUUUGAUCCAUAUUAUGAAUCAAAAUUUUGUCUGCAAUUGACACCCCUUUUAAAUUUUUGCUAAAUUGGUAUUACCCAUCUAGGCUUUUCUUUUAGAGGAAAGAAAGGAAGUGUGCUGCUGCUCAUUACACCAUGAAAUACAUAAACACAGUCCCAGGACCAUCCCACCUUUUAAAUAAAAAUCCACACUGAAGGUUUUAUUCCUCUUAAAUACUGUUUAGUGUCCUUCACAACUUUCCCGGGAGAUCAGGAAGAGUGAGUUCAGUGCUAUACUUUGGAUGUGAAACAGUGAGACAAUUUGAGCCAACAUAUUGGUUAGAAGGCAAUGCAAAAUGCCCACUGAGAUCUUGGAGCAGAGCUUGUCUAAUCGGUGUUUGUGUUUAGAUUUGAUAGAAGGAUCACAGGAGCAUCUGUAUCAUAAGGGACCUGAGCCAAUCUAUUUUGGAGAAACAUUCUGAGGGAAAGGUAAUUCAUUCUGCCAGUGAAACAGUGACUGUGGGGUCACUGGAGUGAAUUGUUUUCCAAGUACUAUGAUCAUAGUUCCGAAACUGUUUCUCUCACCUGAAUCCACUACAAGAUUGAACCCUGUGAGAACAUAAGGCACGAUAGCUGAUUCUAAUCUGAAAUCAGACCAAGGAUUCCGGGGGGAAAUCUGAAUUGUAAGAAGGAAUGUGUGAGAGUCACAGGCUGCCAAAAGUCAGCUUUCACAGACAGAUGAAAUUCUGAAAUCUAAUAAUCAUUAGAGUAGUGUUCUUUAUGGAAAAUGAGUAAUUCACAGCACUAAAAUUUAAAUGAUAGAAAAAUAUCUAUAGGGAGGAUCAAAUCAUAACUAAACUACACAGUGAAGGAAAGGCUUUCUGCUGAAAGCACUAUGGAAGGGUAAAUAUCUUCUCUAAGAAAGGGCUAAAGCCCACUGCUUUGAAAGUUCUUAUGCUCCCUGGAAGCCUAAGAGCUUUCUCCUUCAUAACUAACCCAAGCUUGUUUUAAGCCUGGCAGCCAAAGGGUCCCUAUGUUGGAUGACCCUUCUAUGCCCUCUACUGAAUCUUGUGUGGUCCCCAAACAGGCCAGCACACAUCUGACAGUGGUCGGGGCCAAUUUCCCAUUCACAUGUGUGUUCUCAGGCCUGAGAGCAGGGUUGGGUGUGCUCUGACAUAGUCAUGUCCUCUAGACCGCCUCCCCCUACUCUUGUCUAAAUGCAUAAGUCGAGUCACUGAAGGGCCAUCGCUGGCCUCUCCUGACAUUCUCCCCUCCAGAUGACCGGGUGAGUCAGGAAGGUGUUUCCUCGGGAAGCUGGGGGCCCAAGCCAGCCAGUUUCAGCCAUCGUUACUGAGUAAGAACAUGCUGUGCUCAGCCUGUUGGCUCCACUCUUGAGCACAAAGUAUGUGUUACAACAACAAGCACAAGAAUACUGACCACACGCUUCCCUAUCUCUAGAUCUGUAAUGAGAACAUUUGAAGUAAAUACAUACAAUCAAGAAACAGUUCUGUAAGGCAGAAAUUGAACAGAGUUUCUGAUUUGUAGCCCUGAGACACAGCUUCUUGUACUCUGUGAAUCCAGACCCCACAGGUUAUGGAAGAAAAGCAACAGACAGAAGAUGGGAAAAACAGGUCACGUUUAUAAGACCAGCUUGAAGACCAUGCCACACUGAGGAGUUUGGUUUUUCGUUAGGCAAAGAAACUAGCUGUUUUUUCUUCAAUGUUCAUCGGAAAACUUGCCCAGCAGCUGUGAGUGACUCUUCAGCUUUCGAAUCAUUGUCUUGGAAUCUUCUAAACCAGGACUUUAAAAAAUACUGUAACGGUUAAUAUUGAGUGUCAACUUGAUUGGAUUGAAGGAUGCAAAGUAUUGUUCCUGGGUGUGUCUGUGAGGGUGUUGCCAAAGGAGAUUAACAUUCCAGUCAGUGGACUGGGAAAGGCAGACCCACCCUCAAUCUGGGUGGGCACCAUCUAAUCAGCUGCCAGUGUGGCCAGAAUAAAGCAGGAAAAUGUGGAAGGACUUGACUUGCUGAGUCUUCUGGUCUUCAGCUUUCUCCCAUGCUGGAUGCUUCCUGCCUUAGAGCAUUGGACUCCAGGUCUUCAGCUUUUGGACUCUCGGACUUACACCAGUGGUUUGCCAGGGGCUCUCAGGCCUUUGGACACAGACUGAAGGCUGCACUGUCGGCUUCCCUACUUUUGAGGUUUUGGGCUUCCCUACUCCUCAGCUUGCAGAUGGCCUAUUGUGGAACUUUACCCUGUGAUCAUGCAUUCAAGUCAGACCCAGAUCAAAGACACUGAAGCCUUUACUUGAGCUGGUCUGGUUUGCUCUUGCUUGAGCUUUUCUCACCUAAAACAAUUGCCAGUUAUUUCAAGUUAUGUGAUAUCCAAUCAUGCUUGUGUCACUGUGGGAUGAUGCCAGCCUCCAGCAAUAAUCCAGAUCUGACCCCUUGUGGGAGCAGCCCCACCACAAGGAAUUCUGGAUUAUUUUCCCUUCAUAAAACCACAGCUGUUGUGCCUGCACAAGCCCCUGACUUUUUCAUUGAAGGAAUGAAUCACAUUUUCAUGGAGCAGGAGAAAUGCUUCUCCUUGUUGGUAUCUCUGCCUAUCCUCAAGACUCUUCACUGAUGCAAAGCCCAAAUCUUACUUUGCAAGCUACCAAUAAUCCUUUGGAGUUUAUUUAAACUUGGCAGAGACUACAUUCUGUGAGAAAAAAAAAUUGCAAUGGCAGCAGCAGGGAUCCAAACAGGAUGUUUGUGAAGUCUGGCAAAAUAGGUGCACUGAGUGCCUUGUUCUUGUCUACCUAAUUAUUGUUUACUUCAUUCUUAUCGCCUAACUCCGAAACAGCAAGUUCCAGCCACCUGACAUCCGUUAUCUCAAAUCUUUUAACCAUCCUACAAGAACUCUUUUUGCCCAACAGAAUGUGGACAGCAGAACUGCUUUAUAAAUUGGGAGGAAGGCACACCUGGAAGAUGGUGAUGCCAGCACAAUGGGAAAUGUGCCAGUGUGUAGAAUUCUUCUCUGGUCUUUGUAAAUAGAAAUGCUCACUUUCUAUGUGAAACACCUAAAUGAUUCGAUGCCAAACGCAGAAUAAGUUUAAAGGUAGAACAAGCAAAUAGCUAAACAAGGGAGUGUUUCAGAAAGGAAAUAUGUCAAGCCUUGGCUCAAAAGCAAAACAGUCUUUUCAUGAAGGGAAGUGUUCACAGCAUCUAUUAAAUGCAUACUCAGUCACAAAAAUAAAACCCAUCUGUUUAAUAUUAACAUUUGUAAUAAACAUUUUAAAAAAAGGAAUGUAGAAGGCAAAAAUGUAUUGUAAAACAAAAUGUACACUCUUGGGAUAACUAAAACUUCCUCUGAAAGAAUUGCAGUACUCUAAAGCUUGUUCUUUAUACCAAAAGCAAUAACAAUUAGUUGCAUGACACUGCAAUAGCAGAGGCAUAUUCUGCCCUUUGAGAGGACAGGAUAUUAAUCUGAAAAUUGAGCAUACGCUCCCAUAGUAUAGAAUGCCAAACUUCCUUGGAUGCAACUUGCCAAAGCAAAAUUAUACACCUGAAGUGUGUCCUAAAAUUUAGAGACAGAAAUGAUGUAUUUUAAAAUCAUGACUUAGAUAUUUGAAAGUUUUUGGCUACAUUAGGAAGCUAAUUGUCAUGUACUUCGAUACAGAAUCAAGAUGUACUAAUUUUUAUUGGUACACUGGCAUUAAAUGAAUGUGUAGCAUAUGUUUAAAAGGAUGUAUCUGAGAAGCAAGGAUGAGGGUAAUAGAAUACUAAAGUCUAAACUGAGGGUCGCUUCAAUAUUUUAUUAGCCAUUUUAUGCAUAUGAACACAGACCAUAUUAGAUACUUAGCAAGUAGGGGAAAAAAACCUGUUUCUAUCAGGGGAAGGAUUAUCUCUAUUGAGAAACACAUGUUAAUAGGUCUGUCUAGUUCGGAAGAAGCUGCCUCUCUUGGUCAACAUUGGAUGAUGUGGAGCUGUUCUAUCCAAUAUAACAAGCACUAGCCACAUACAGCUAUUGAAAUGUACAUGGUAAAUUAAUUAAACUCUAAUGUCAUGUUUAAUUCUUUAAGUGCUUAAUAGCCAUAUACAAUUAGUGGCUACCAUACUGUGUAGUGCAGAUUACAGAGCAUUUCCAUCAUCAUAGAACGUUCUAUUGUAUAGGACCGGUCUGGGUAAAGUUUGGGAGAUAGAGAAACUACUCCAUGGGAAUCUUGGAUUUAGGGGCGAGUAAAACUUUCACAAAGUGGCAAGGAGAUCUGAACAGAGAGGCAAAAAUUGCAGUGUCGUGAGAAGCCAGAAUCUUGUCAGAAAAGAGAGACUGUUGGCUAUAGAAAUGUCUGAAGUGUUUUUUCAAAACCGAAUACCUGAGAUUAAAUGUAAACUGCUCCACCUCCUCCCACUGAUACCUUUUGUUACAAAUCUUCAGGAAACCUAGAAUGGAACAACACAGCAAGGGCUGCUGCCUGGGCAUUAGAAAUAGAACACCACACCCAAUGGCUAAAGCUGGUGGCCAGAGAUAAGAACUUAGAGGCAUCUCUCCUGCCUAGCAGACUGGGCCCUGUGUUUUCCCGCCACUUCCUUUAAAUAAACCAUUCAGGCACUUGCCUGUAAACUGAAAGUGAUCCAUAUUCUGCUAGCUGCCACUCUCUCUUUCUCUCUGCCUGACCUUUCAUUCCUGCCUUGCGUGACCGAGGGAUGGAGGGCUGCCCUCCAGAUUCAUUGCACCCUCCCUGCCCAAGGCCUUAAGCAAAAAGCUUUGACUUUGCUUGUUUUUGUGGUGGUGUAUUGAAUUUUCACCUUCCAUCUGAAGAACUGGGGACUACCCUAGGCUAGAUUUUCCAAGGGAGGCCAGGACGAACACAAGAGCAGUCUCCCAGUACUAAGGCCAUGGUCAGGUAGGCAUAAACUGGACACAGGUCAGGCAAGAGUCUCAAGGAUGUCUGCCAAUAUAACCAAGUUCCCCAUGUGAGGGACAUCCUGGUCUCAGGUCAGACAGCUAGGCACUAAGCCAUCUGCUAGGUGAAAGAAGUGUCCUGUGAAAGGCUCCUUUUCGUUUCCUGUUAGGGCAGGAUUGCUAGCCUCUCUGGUACUGGAACCACAGUUUAGCUAGGGGCUCUCAAAACAACUCUCCUCCACACAUAGCCAUGGGUCAACGGUAUCUGGGGUAGUAUGGGUCAGUGUCAUAAUCAGCAGAUGCAAUGAAGCAUGGAUAUUAGAAAUUCAAUAGAAAUAGCAACUUAAGGUCAGAGGUAACCAGGAAAGAAAAAUAAGACACCGGCCCCACCUCAGUACCCCAACAUAGCCAUAAGAAAUGAUCUCCAGAGAACUGUCGAAAGCAACUUGUAUUAAAUUAAUCUAAGGCAACUUCAGUUGGUUGUAGAAUUACUUCAAUUAUCCAAUUGAUACAAGUUACACACAUGUGGAAAAAAUUACAAAUUACUAUUCCUUUGUCUUUAUUUCCUGACAAACAAUAAACAUUUUCUUAGGCAUUAAGAAGGAUAAAGUAAAGAACCCAAAUGCAUUCUCCUCUAUUUAUUCAGCGCAGAAAAGGCUUAGGUUAAAAAGUCCUAGAGAUAAUUUUUAUGAGGUGGAAAUUUCUUGAUUGACAAUGAGAGAUUGAUCAUGGAAACUUCCUCUUACCUUUCUUUUAUCUUUGCGAGCUCUUUGCUGCUGUUUUCAGAUGUGUUAGGAAUAGAGAUAAACUUCUGGCAGGCCUAUUUUGUGAGGUAGAUAUUCUAGCUCAGAAUAAAGUGAAGGUUUAUGUCACCAGAUUUCUUGGUCAAUACUAGGAAGACGUUUAGCUUCUUGGGUGGGUGCAAGAGUAACUGACUGUUCUUUUGUUUUCCAGAAACCAGUCACAUCCACCAUAUUAAACAAGAAUUUGUUAUUUAUUUGUGGAUUUUUUAAGUCUUUUGGUCAGCCCUGCAAAUAAUAAAGACUUCUAAAAUUAAAGGAAUACCAAAAUAACUAUGGCAUUUCCUUAGUUAAGCAUAAUGGCUUCUUCAGAGCAGACUCACUGCAUAAACACUGAACAUAUUCUUUCCCUCCAGUAACAUCUGUGAACAAGUUUACCACUUGGGAAAACGAGAGACUAGUAACUAUGUCCAGACACGGUUGGGCACAGGUGCUUCAACAAACCAUUCCACAAAUACACCCCAGUUCCGACAAGUGAGCUAUUUCUGACUGAUCCUUUGAGACUUCCAGUCACACUGUGUGUUUGGCCUGGGAGCAGGUGACCCACUGGCAGGGCAGUCAGCAUCAUCAGCUCAGGGGAUGGACUUUACUGGCAGAGUGCCUUCCCUAAACAUAUUGACUCUCCCAACAGAGAACGGCAGCCCAGCGAUUUAUUAAAAGCAAUUGUGUAUUUCCUUGGUCUAGCCAAACAUUUGGUGCAUGUUACACAACCCUCUAAGACCAAGCUUCAGUCUGACUCUGAAGAAAAGCUGUCCCCCACUAGCCCAAAUUAUAAUGAACCUCUGAUCUCCCACAGUGACCAAUUUCUGGGAUGUUCAUUGGUACUUAAUCAUGUACUGCCUUGUGAGAGGUACUUCUUCCACUUGUAAUGAAAUUUUUUUAUUUUCCUCAUUUAAAACGUUUGCAAUUUACCCCUGUUAAAUUAAAUUUAUGGGAUGGCAUUGUCUUGAAUUCAGCUUGUACACAAGGCCCCAAGAGACCAGCCCAGCCCAGAAUGGAGUCAUGUGUGCUAGGUGCCACAUAAUCAAACUGAUCAUGGCUUUUAAAAAGCCAGUUUAAACAACAACGAAAACAAACCAGAUUUUCAGCAACCAGUCCAAACAGGUCCAGUCACCGUAAGCUGGCAUGAUAAGGAAACUUUCUCUUCCUUAACCCUGUAAGGAAAGUAACUUUUAAACAAUGAAUCCACAUUUUGUUUCUUGUUUUAUGUUCUUCAGCCUUUCUGUCUAUAAAGCCUACUCCCUCUGCUCAGCUCAUUCGAAUGUCUUUCUGUUUUGUAGAUGGAAUGCUGCCUGAUUCACAAAACACUAAUAAAAAAGAAUUUGAUCUUUGAAACACAACUUGCUGAAAUUUUGUUCUUUGACACCCUUAACUACAUUUCAUACUCUUUAAUGGCCCUCAGCUUGGACUGGAACUACACCCCCAGCUCUCCUGGGUCUCCAGCUUGCAGAGGAAAGAUUGCAGGACUUCUCAGCCUCCAUAAAUGCGUAAGCUAAUUCCUUACAAAAAAUCUCUCUCUCUCUCUUUCUCUCUCUCUCUACACACACACACACACACACACACACACACACACACACACACACACACGUAUCCUCCUAUUGGUUCUGUUUCUUUGGAGAUCUUGACUAAUACAAGCACCUUUCAAUCAGAUUGGAGGCUGCCUAAUGCUGGAAGUGGGCCACCCAUCUCUACUGUGCUAAAUUUCAACCUUUUAGUUGCCUGAUCAUGGAGAGGUCUAGGUGGCCUGGGUAGCAGAAACACAGUCAAAGCUCAGAACAGCAGUUAUUUGUCCUCAUGUAUCUUAAUAUUUUAGCAAGUACAACUCUCUGUGUGUGACAACAAACUACAGAAUUCUCUUAUAAUUCUAAGGCAUUGUGUGUGUGUGUGUGUGUGUGUACACAAAUGCAUAUGCACACUAACGUAACUCCCAGAAAUGAUUUCCACUGACAAGUCAUAAAGAGUUGUAAAAAAAAAUAUGACUAGUUUAGUACACAAUACUAAUUCUUCUUAGACUUUCCAUCACUAGAAGUCCAAUAUUAAUAAUUUUACCAUAAAAGGGGUGGUAAUCAGAAAAUAUUCUCACUUCUGAUGGACUACUUUAAAGUUGAAAUGGUGUUAUGUUUCCAUUAAUAGCCUGGAUCUCAUUAAGUCAUUAACACAUUCUAAAUUCAGUGACACAAAUUCGAAGUAAAGCAAAUGGGAAGGAGGAGGGAUCUUUAAGCUUUAAAAGAUCUCCCUGCUUUAAGCUGAAGUUAAAGCUGACCAUACCAAAGACAUAAAGCACUUUUUAGUGUGAAAUGACAUUUGUGGUUAUGUUUCUAUUUGAUGAGAAAUGUUAAGUUUGUGACAAUCAUCCAUCCUUACUGUGAAUUUUUUUUCAUUAAAAAUAUGUGUAUUACUCAAGUAUUUAUAGAUAAACUAAGAUGCUAUCAUGAAUUUGUUUCAAAAGAAUUCAACGGACAGUUGGAGGAGUAGGAAGUAUGGAUAAAAUGAGAUUGGCUGUGUUUGAUAAUUAUUGAAGCUGGUGUUGGGUAAACGGGGGUUCAUUAUUUUAUUCUAUUUUUAUGUAUAUUUGAUGUUUUCCACAGUACAAAGCUUUUUUCUCUCCAUUUUCUAUUUUUUACUUUAGCCAUAAUUAUACUUGUGUCUCUAAUUCAUAUUUUAAAAGUAAAAUACAAGAUAAUUAAGAUGGUAUGUAUCCAAUUAAAAUUAAAAUAAAUCUUAAAAUAAUGAGC
rnacentral:lncRNA from 10 species